rnacentral:misc_RNA from 1 species
GCCACAUUGAAAUGGAACUAGAAAGUUCCCAACUAAAUGAUAAAGGUAAGUGCCAACUACCAUGGAAAGCCAAAUCAGGGGAAAGCAAAAAUAAAAUUUUAUCUAAUUUUCCGUGUUCAAAUCCCCAAUCCCACUCUGCCUCCUUAGUGGCAGAUUGAAUAACUGCUAUUCACCAAAAUUGAAUAGAUCACAACUUGCCAACAUUUUUUUUAAAGUCGACUUGAUAAUAGCUAUUACAAAGUAAGAGAAUCUCUUUCUAUGACUAUCAAUAAGUCAAACGAAUAUUUGGUAUAAUGGACAGAAUUUUGAGAAUGCUUUUAAUGGUUAUAAAUUUUUAGAUAUUUU